AUGUCUUUAAGGCAAACAAGAUUUUCUUGACCUUUGUGACUUUAACUGAUUCAGGUGAAGCUACUUUGUCACCUGUCGGAUGAGGACACCAUGGCAGAAAUCAAAGACCGGGGAAACUUUGUCGAUCUACUGAAGAACAUGCUUGACAUCUGUGUCAACAUCUGUGUCCUGAGUACUGGAAGAGCAGCUGUAUUUAAAGAGCUAUUAAACUGCUCAUGACAAAAGCCAUAAGCUGUUACUGUGUACUGUUCUGUCUUCUACAUUUCUUGCUUUACUCAGUAUUUCAGUUGUCCUUUUGGCUAAGAGCUCUCAUUAUGAUACUCAUUUUCGUCCAACAUGGCUCCAGGAUGUCCGUUUGAUACAUUAAGUACAUUUUACCGAUAAAACUCACAUACUAAGUAAGAUUACGGUUUUUAAACCAUCACUUUAACAUUAUUGUCGUUGGUAGCUGUGAACACAUUAAACACAGAGCAUGUUUGUAUAAUAACAGAGCGCCUCCAUUUCUAACAAAGGAGACGUGUUUCCGUUGGCGUACCUGAAGCUCAGGUGGUAGCUUCUUUGUUUGCUAGACGGUGAACGCGCCUGCGUGCUCGCGCUCUUUAUGAUACAGGUGCGCUGGGCUCAGCCCACAAAUAGGAGGACACGGUGCAGGUAGAGAGCGCGAGCCUCGUUACAAAUACCGAAAGUAACAGGUAUAUCGAGGAUGUCUUACUUCUUUUUGUCGGUAUUAUAACGAGAGGAGCAUGGCAGGUCUGCAGCGGGAUAAUAUGAGACAAACUGCAGAGAACACCGUCAACAUGGAGGAUUUUUUCAAGACGGUGGGGGAGGUGAGAAACCUCAUUGAAAACAUCUCCUGUCAAGCAGAGGAUAGUUGAGAAGAGACAUGGCGCCAUCCUCGCUACUCCAAACCAAGACAAGAGCAACAAAGACUCGCUGGAGCUGCUGAAUAAUGACACCAAGAAGAGUGCCAACUUGGUCCGAGCCAAGUUAAAAUCACUCUCAUCUGACUCGGUGGUUUGCUGAAGUCAUGAGGGGCUACCAUAAAGCCCAAAUCUCCUUCAGAGAGAAAUGCAAAGCACAAAUUCAGAGGCAGCUGGAGAUUGUUGAUAAGGUGACUACAGAUGAAGAGCUGGAGGAGAUGCUGCACCGUGACAAUCUUGCCAUUUUCAUUUCUGAUGUUAGUCGAUGUUAGUUCUGGGCCACAAUUAUUGGCUAUGCAGUAGUUAAUAACUACUGCAGUUCUGUUUUUGUUGUUGAUCACCUCCAUAUGCAGUUAUAAUGUAAUAUGAAGAUGUUUAGCGUAUGAUUAUUUUAAAAAAUGGGGCACUUUUCCUUCCACAGAUCAACUCUGGUGCACGGAUUUCAAGCCAGGCCCUGAGUGAGAUUUCUCGUCAUCAGGAUAUCAUCUGCCUCGAGUCCAGCAUGUAGGCCAUGUAGCAUUGGCACAUAACCGGCCGUGUGCCGGCGCUACAUGACCCGUUACUGCCCGGUGCGGACUUGACUCAUUUAUUGACAUGUUUGCAGAGGUAUGUCCAGCAGUAGAGUUUACCGGGGUGAAGGCGGGCGGGUGUAAACGAUCCUACACCGCGAAAAUGACAGAUCAGUCAAAGUGAGCCCCCUUGUGGCUGGCUAUAGUGGCUACAGGUCAUAAGUCCCGCACCCUACAUAAAAGUGACACUAAAAA